rnacentral:rRNA from 1 species
AGGCUGAAACUCGCCUACAUGAAGCUGGAGUUGCUAGUAAUCGCGAAUCAGCAUGUCGCGGUGAAUACGUUCCCGGGCCCUUGUACACACCGCCCGUCACACCAUGAGAGUUGGCAAUACCCAACGUACGUGAUCUAACCCGCAAGGGAGGAAGCGUCCUAAGGUAGGGUCAGCGAUUGGGGUGAAGUCGUAACAAGGUAGC